rnacentral:rRNA from 1 species
UACGAAGGGGGCUAGCGUUGCUCGGAAUCACUGGGCGUAAAGCGCACAUAGACGGAUUGCUAAGUCAGGGGUGAAAUCCUGGAGCUCAACUCCAGAACUGCCUUUGAUACUGGCGAUCUCGAGUCCGGGAGAGGUGAGUGGAACUGCGAGUGUAAAGGUGAAAUUCGUAGAUAUUCGCAAGAACACCAGUGGCGAAGGCGGCUCACUGGCCCGGUACUGACGCUGAGGUGCGAAAGCGUGGGGAGCAAACAGG